AACGUAGGACGCGAGCGUUAUCCGGAGUUACUGGGCGUAAAGCGCGCGCAGGCGGAUGCAUAAGUCACCUAUGAAAGGCGCUGGCUAAACUGGCGGAUGUUGGGUGAGACUGUGUGUCUUGAGAGAAACAGAGGGGAGCGGAAUUCCGGGUGUAGUGGUGAAAUGCGUAGAUAUCCGGAGGAACAUCGGUGGCGAAGGCGGCUCUCUGGGUUUCCACUGACGCUGAGGCGCGAAAGCGUGGGUAGCGAACGGG
rnacentral:rRNA from 1 species